UUCCAACAUUUUCAGAUGUGUUUCAGGCUUGUUUCAGACAUUUUCACGUGUAUUUCGGGUGUGUUUCAGACAUUUUCAGGUGUAUUUCAGGUGUGUUUAAGGCUUGUUCCAGAUGUGUUUCAGACUUAUUUCAGAUGUGUUUCAGACAUUUUCCUAUGUGUUUCAGGCUUGUUUCAGGCUUGUUUCCAACAUUUUCAGAUGUGUUUCAGGCUUGUUUCCAACAUUUUCAGGUGUAUUUCGGGUGUGUUUCAGGCUUGUUCCAGAUGUGUUUCAGGCUUGUUUCAGGUGUGUUUCAAGCUUGUUUCAGAUGUGUUUCAGGCUUGUUUCAGGUGUGUUUCAGAGUUGUUUCAGGUGUGUUUCAGGCUUGUUCCAGAUGUGUUUCAGGCUUGUUUCAGGUGUGUUUCAGAGUUGUUUCAGAUGUGUUUCAGGCUUGUUUCAGGUGUGUUUCAAGCUUGUUUCAGAUGUGUUUCAGGCUUGUUUCAGGUGUGUUUCAGAGUUGUUUCAGGUGUGUUUCAGGCUUGUUCCAGAUGUGUUUCAGGCUUGUUUCAGGUGUGUUUCAAGCUUGUUUCAGAUGUGUUUAAGGCUUGUUCCAGAUGUGUUUCAGACUUAUUUCAGAUGUGUUUCAGGCUUAUUUCAGAUGUGUUUCAGACAUUUUCCUAUGUGUUUCAGGCUUGUUUCAGGCUUGUUUCCAACAUUUUCAGUUGUGUUUCAGGCUUGUUUCAGACAUUUUCAGGUGUAUUUCGGGUAUGUUUCAGGCUUGUUCCAGAUGUGUUUCAGGCUUGUUUCAGGUGUGUUUCAAGCUUGUUUCAGAUGUGUUUUUAGAGUUGUUUCAGAUGUGUUUCAGGCUUGUUCCAGAUGUGUUUCAGACUUAUUUCCUAUGUGUUUCAGGCUUGAUUCUGGCUUGUUUCCAACAUUUUCAGAUGUGUUUCAGGCUUGUUUCAGACAUUUUCAGGUGUAUUUCGGGUGUGUUUCAGGCUUGUUCCAGAUCUGUUUCAGGCUUGUUUCAGAUGUGUUUCAGGCUUGUUUCAGGCUUGUUUCAGGUGUGUUUCAGGCUUGUUUCAGGUGUGUUUCAGGCUUGUUCCAGAUGUGUUUCAGGCUUGUUUCAGAUGUGUUUCAAGGUUGUUUCAGAUGUGUUUCAGGCUUGUUCCAGAUGUGUUUCAGGCUUGUUUCAGGUGUGUUUCAGAGUUGUUUCAGAUGUGUUUAAGGCUUGUUUCAGAUGUGUUUCAGACAUUUUCCUAUGUGUUUCAGGCUUGAUUCUGGCUUGUUUCCAACAUUUUCAGAUGUGUUUCAGGCUCGUUUCUGACAUUUUCAGGUGUAUUUCGGGUAUGUUUCAGGCUUGUUCCAGAUGUGUUUCAGGCUUGUUUCAGAUGUGUUUCAGACAUUUUCCUAUGUGUUUCAGGCUUGAUUCUGGCUUGUUUCCAACAUUUUCAGAUGUGUUUCAGGCUCGUUUCUGACAUUUUCAGGUGUAUUUCGGGUAUGUUUCAGGCUUGUUCCAGAUGUGUUUCAGGCUUGUUUCAGGUGUGUUUCAGGCCUGUUCCAGAUGUGUUUCAGGCUUGUUUCAGGUGUGUUUCAGGCUUGUUCCAGAUGUGUUUCAGGCUUGUUUCAGAUGUGUUUCAAGGUUGUUUCAGAUGUGUUUCAUGGUUGUUUCAGAUGUGUUUCAGGCUUGUUCCAGAUGUGUUUCAGGCUUGUUUCAGGUGUGUUUCAGACUUGUUUCAGAUGUGUUUCUGACAUUUUAAUGCUUGUUUCAGGUGUGUUUCAGAUGUGUUUCAGGUGUGUUUCAGACAUUUUCAGACUUGUUUCAUGCUUGUUUGAGGCAGGUUUGUGUUUGCUGAGUGUUGCUGGAAGGUUUUGAAUUGAAGUUUGCAGCAGGCUCCAUGACUGACUUGCUCAGCUAUGAACACUGUGAGUAGUGUGAGAUGCUUGCUGCUCACAGAGAUCAGUGCUGCAGCUCAGUGCGCUCCUACUGCCAGCUUUUCAUUUCCUUCUACUGAACCUACUGACAAACUCCUGCAGCGGUCCAUCCAAUUACAGGAGCUCAGAGAAGUUUCUGAUGGUUAUCCGCUGUGUGCGAUACACACAACAGGCCCGUUCCUAUUUGCUGCAGUGGUGCCAACAGUUGGGAGGCUGUUGGAACAGCCGUCCACUUACUCUUUUCUGCGUGUCUGAGAGUGAACAGACAUCCGGAGCUCGUUUCAUUUUUCUGAAAUAUGAAGCUGGAAGGGGGACUCUGGUUGCACUCGAGAAAGGGUCAUUGUGCGGCGUGACCUGACAUGUGAUCUGAAUCCCAGAAUAUCUGAGGACGGGUUGGGUUCAUUGUCCUUUCUCCUGUCUGACACAGAUGCGCAGGCUGCAGGCCGGAAACUGAGGACGUCUGCCUCAAACACCCCGACUCACAUGCACCACGAGCUGCUGCUAGUGCCCCCUGCUGGCUACACCUGCUGUCAGCGCCUUAUCGAGACCUGACCCAAUGAAGACGUUUCUCUAAAGCGAGGACAUUUAAACACAAUCCGGACUUUUUCACUGGGAAAGUUUUAAAGGGACAGUAUUAAUGAUGUUUUGAGAACGGGGACACAUUUACAGACAUCAGCAUACGCCAGCCUGCAGCAACACGGCUCCGAAGGCGUCCAUGGGAAGCCGUACCCAGUUGCCGUCUACGUACCCCGGCCGGAUUACCUGGAGGGGGACGAGGACGCAGACCUC